CUCAGGACGAACGCUGGCGGCGUGCCUAAUACAUGCAAGUCGAGCGAAUGACGAGAAGCUUGCUUCUCUGAUUUAGCGGCGGACGGGUGAGUAACACGUGGGCAACCUGCCCUACAGAUUGGGAUAACUCAGGGAAACCUGGGCUAAUACCGAAUAAUCCUUCGAAUCACAUGUUUUGAAGUUGAAAGGCGCUUCGGCGUCACUGUAGGAUGGGCCCGCGGUGCAUUAGCUAGUUGGUGGGGUAACGGCCUACCAAGGCAACGAUGCAUAGCCGACCUGAGAGGGUGAUCGGCCACAUUGGGACUGAGACACGGCCCAAACUCCUACGGGAGGCAGCAGUAGGGAAUCUUCCACAAUGGACGAAAGUCUGAUGGAGCAACGCCGCGUGAGUGAUGAAGGUUUUCGGAUCGUAAAACUCUGUUGUAAGGGAAGAACAAGUACGUUAGGAAAUGAACGUACCUUGACGGUACCUUAUUAGAAAGCCACGGCUAACUACGUGCCAGCAGCCGCGGUAAUACGUAGGUGGCAAGCGUUGUCCGGAUUUAUUGGGCGUAAAGCGCGCGCAGGUGGUUUCUUAAGUCUGAUGUGAAAGCCCACGGCUCAACCGUGGAGGGUCAUUGGAAACUGGGGAACUUGAGUGCAGAAGAGGAUAGUGGAAUUCCAAGUGUAGCGGUGAAAUGCGUAGAGAUUUGGAGGAACACCAGUGGCGAAGGCGACUGUCUGGUC
rnacentral:rRNA from 1 species